GAAACCGUGUACGUACAAGCAGUGGGAGCACCCUUUGGGUGUGACUGCGUACCUUUUGUAUAAUGGGUCAGCGACUUAUAUUCUGUAGCAAGGUUAACCGAAUAGGGGAGCCGGAGGGAAACCGAGUCUUAACCGGGCGUUAAGUUGCAGGGUAUAGACCCGAAACCCGGUGAUCUAGCCAUGGGCAGGUUGAAGGUUGGGUAACACUAACUGGAGGACCGAACCGACUAAUGUUGAAAAAUUAGCGGAUGACCUGUGGCUGGGGGUGAAAGGCCAAUCAAACCGGGAGAUAGCUGGUUCUCCCCGAAAGCUAUUUAGGUAGCGCCUCGUGAAUUCAUCUCCGGGGGUAGAGCACUGUUUCGGCUAGGGGGCCAUCCCGGCUUACCAACCCGAUGCAAACUGCGAAUACCGGAGAAUGUUAUCACGGGAGACACACGGCGGGUGCUAACGUCCGUCGUGAAGAGGGAAACAACCCAGACCGCCAGCUAAGGUCCCAAAGUCAUGGUUAAGUGGGAAACGAUGUGGGAAGGCCCAGACAGCCAGGAUGUUGGCUUAGAAGCAGCCAUCAUUUAAAGAAAGCGUAAUAGCUCACUGGUCGAGUCGGCCUGCGCGGAAGAUGUAACGGGGCUAAACCAUGCACCGAAGCUGCGGCAGCGACACUGUGUGUUGUUGGGUAGGGGAGCGUUCUGUAAGCCUGUGAAGGUGUGUCGUGAGGC
rnacentral:rRNA from 1 species